CCAGCACGUAAUGGUGGGAACUCUAAGGAGACUUCCGGUGCCAAACCGGAGGAAGGUGGGGAGGACGUCAAGUCAUCAUGGCCCUUAUGACCAGGGGUACACACGUGCUACAAUGGAGCGUACAGAGGGUUCUAAGCCGCGAGGUGGAGCCAAUCCCAGAAAACGUUUCGUAGUCCGGAUCGAAGUCUGCAACUAGAUUUCGUGAAGUCGGAAUCGCUAGUAAUCGCG
rnacentral:rRNA from 1 species